UAUUGCGCAAUGGGGGCAACCCUGACGCAGCAACGCCGCGUGAAGGAUGAAGGUUUUCGGAUUGUAAACUUCUUUUAGCAAGGACGAAGAAUGUGACGGUACUUGAUGAAUAAGACACGGCUAACUACGUGCCAGCAGCCGCGGUAAUACGUAGGUGGCAAGCGUUAACCGGAUUUACUGGGUGUAAAGGGAGAGUAGGCGGGCAGACAAGUCAGAUGUGAAAUCUGGGGGCUUAACCCCCAAACCGCAUUUGAAACUGUAGGUCUUGAGUGAUGGAGAGGCAGGCGGAAUUCCCGGUGUAGCGGUGGAAUGCGUAGAUAUCGGGAGGAACACCAGUGGCGAAGGCGGCCUGCUGGACAUUAACUGACGCUGAUGAGCGAAAGCGUGGGGAGCAAACAGG
rnacentral:rRNA from 1 species